rnacentral:rRNA from 1 species
AUAAACGUUUGCGGCGUGCCUGAUGCAUGCAAGUCGAACGCCCUGAUUUUUCGCAAGAUUUAUCAGGGAGUGGCGAAUGGCUGAGUAACGCGUAAGUAACCUACCCUUAAGUGGGGGAUAACUUGUCGAAAGGCAGGCUAAUACCGCAUGUGCUGGUAAGCGAUAGCUUACCAGUAAAGCUUUUGCGCUUGAGGAGGGGCUUGCGUCUGAUUAGCUAGUUGGCAGGGUAAUGGCCUACCAAGGCGAUGAUCAGUAGCUGGUCUGAGAGGACAACCAGCCAGACGGGGACUGAGAUACGGCCCUGACUCCUACGGGAGGCAGCAGCAAGGAAUUUUGCGCAAUGGGCGAAAGCCUGACGCAGCGACGCCGCGUGGGGGAUGACGGCCUUCGGGUUGUAAACCCCUUCUCUCGAGGAAGAAAUAUGACGGUACUCGAGGAAUAAGUCUUGGCUAACUACGU